rnacentral:rRNA from 1 species
UAAUGGCAGGUCAGCAUACUGCCGUGAAUACGUUCCCGGGCCUUGUGCACACCGCCCGUCACACCAUGAGAGUUGGGAAUACCCGAAGCCUGUGAGCUAACAUUUAUGAGGCAGCAGUCGAAGGUAGAAUCAAUGAUUGGGGUGAAGUCGUAACAAGGUAGC